AACGAGAAGAACCUUACCAGCUCUUGACAUUUUGUGACAACUCUAGAGAUAGAGCGUUCCCUUCGGGGACAGAAUGACAGGUGGUGCAUGGUUGUCGUCAGCUCGUGUCGUGAGAUGUUGGGUUAAGUCCCGUAACGAGCGCAACCCUUGUUGUUAGUUGCCAGCAUUAAGUUGGGCACUUUAACGAGACUGCCGGUGAUAAACCGGAGGAAGGCGGGGAUGACGUCAAAUCAUCAUGCCCCUUAUGAGCUGGGCUACACACGUGCUACAAUGGAUGGUACAACGAGCAGCGAUCCCGCAAGGGCUAGCUAAUCUUUCAAAGCCAUUCUCAGUUCGGAUUGCACUCUGCAACUCGAGUGCAUGAAGUCGGAAUCGCUAGUAAUCGCGAAUUCAGAA
rnacentral:rRNA from 1 species